rnacentral:rRNA from 1 species
UACGAAGGGGGCUAGCGUUGCUCGGAUUGACUGGGCGUAAAGGGCGCGUAGGCGGUUCGUACAGUCAGACGUGAAAUUCCUGGGCUCAACCUGGGGGCUGCGUUUGAUACGUGCGGACUUGAGUGCGGAAGAGGGUCGUGGAAUUCCCAGUGUAGAGGUGAAAUUCGUAGAUAUUGGGAAGGACACCGGUGGCGAAGGCGGCGCUCUGGACCGAGACUGACGCUGAGGCGCGAAAGCGUGGGGAGCAAACAGG